GCUUCCAUAUCUAAAUAACAGACAGAAGCAAUCGCCACACGCUCGCGAUCGCUGCGAGCUCCGCUCGCCCGCCCUCGGCCAGGAAGCAGGAGCACUACGCCUGCGCAAGAGGACGGCGGCCGCCCUGGAGCAAAGAGGGUCGUGGUCAGAAAGAAGUUGGGAGGCUUCCAGUACCAGACAAAAUGGAGUAAGGCACUGCAGUCUCUGCCACUGAUCACAACUAAAAAUUCUGGACAAAAUGUAACUAAGGACUCCGAAAAGUAAACAAGCAGCCAAAUUAUGGAAGGGAAUCAAAGCUUGAAGAAAAUAUCUGUAUGGGUACCAGAAUCCUUUUAGCCAGGCAUAUGUCUGCCUGAAAUGGACUCAUCUUCCCAACCUCUCCUGCAACUAGGUGCAACCUACCAUGGACUAAGUUCUGCUGUGAGUUGUAGGAGGAGGUACAAUGGGGCACCUUCCUGGAACCUUCCUUACAACACUGCUGGCACAUUUCCUUUUUCUUCUUUGUCACCUCUUUAAUUCAUCCUGUGGCUUGGAAAGUUGGUGUAAAAAUAGCUGGAGUGCUGGCUACCAUCCUGACCAUGAAGACCUAGGGAGGGAGUCCAGUUUCCACAGUACCUUUCACAGAUGGAUGUCGGGUAAGUGUUUGCUGGUUGAUCCUCUGCUGAUGCCCUGCUCACCUCACAGAAGGCCUGACCGCACACCUACUAGUAUCAGCAAG